AUUCCAGCUCCAGUAGCGUAUAUUAAAGCUGUUGCAGUUAAAAAGCUCGUAGUUGGAUCUUGGGCCCAGGCCUGCGGUCCGCCGUGAGGCGUGUACUGCAGUCCUGGCCUUCCUCUCGGUUUUCGCCCGGUGCUCUUAAUUGAGUGCCAGGAGAGGCCGGAACGUUUACUUUGAAAAAAUUGGAGUGUUCAAAGCAGGCCUCGCGCCUGAACAGCAGAGCAUGGAAUAAUGGAAUAGGACCUCGGUUCUAUUGCGUUGGUUUUCGGAACUCGAGGUAAUGAUUAAGAGGGACUGACGGGGGCAUUCGUAUUGCGGUGUGAGAGGUGAAAUUCUUGGAUCGCCGCAAGACGACCGACUGCGAAAGCAUUUGCCAAGAAUGUUUUCAUUA
rnacentral:rRNA from 1 species